rnacentral:rRNA from 1 species
ACGAACGCUGGCGGCGUGCUUAACACAUGCAAGUCGAACGGUGAAGCGCCUUCCUUUUUGGUGGGUGUGGAUGAGUGGCGAACGGGUGAGUAACACGUGAGUAACCUGCCCCCUUCUUCUGGAUAACCGCAUGAAAGUGUGGCUAAUACGGGAUAUUCUGGGUCUGUCGCAUGAUGGGUCUGGGAAAGAUAUUGUUUCGGUGGGGGAUGGGCUCGCGGCCUAUCAGCUUGUUGGUGGGGUGAUGGCCUACCAAGGCGGUGACGGGUAGCCGGCCUGAGAGGGUGGACGGUCACACGGGGACUGAGACACGGCCCAGACUCCUACGGGAGGCAGCAGGGGGGAAUAUUGCACAAUGGGCGCAAGCCUGAUGCAGCGACGCCGCGUGAGGGAUGGAGGCCUUCGGGUUGUGAACCUCUUUCGCCAGUGAAGCAGGCCUGCCUCGUUUGUGGGUGGGUUGACGGUAGCUGGAUAAGAAGCGCCGGCUAACUACGUG